GGAAGUAAAAAGUCGUAACAAGGUCUCCGUUGGUGAACCAGCGGAGGGAUCAUUACCGAGUUUACAACUCCCAAACCCAAUGUGAACCAUACCAAACUGUUGCCUCGGCGGGGUCACGCCCCGGGUGCGUCGCAGCCCCGGAACCAGGCGCCCGCCGGAGGGACCAACCAAACUCUUUCUGUAGUCCCCUCGCGGACGCUAUUUUUACAGCUCUGAGCAAAAAUUCAAAAUGAAUCAAAACUUUCAACAACAGAUCUCUUGGUUCUG
rnacentral:misc_RNA from 1 species